UUAAGUUCAGCGGGUAUCCCUACCUGAUCCGAGGUCAAGAUAAAAGAAGAUCUUGUGGAGGACCAGUACGUCAAGACGCCAGGCGCGUUCUACUGCGCUCGAAGCCAACAUACCGGCCGCCAAUGCAUUUGAGGUGAGUCCACCCAGGGGGAGGACAAGCACCCAACACCAAGCUAUGCUUGAAGGUUUAAAUGACGCUC
rnacentral:misc_RNA from 1 species